GAGGGGCCCGCGAACUAACAGAAUAACAUUGCCGCGCAGCCAGGUUCAGGUCCACGUGAACAUAUUUUGAGCAAUGUGAUUCAUAAACUUAUCAGAUAAACCGAGCGUGAAUUGAAUUAUAGUGGCGUUCGAAUACUAUAAUCUGUGAAUUUGAAUGAAAGUGACAGUGAGACAUAGCUGGAAAUCGUUGCCGACGCUUUUUAAACCAAUAACGUAGAUUAAGGGACCUGUGCUUGUGUUGGUGCUGCGGACGCAGCGCUCAACAUGUGAGGUUAAAGCAGACAGACAAACAGACGGCGGCAACAAGCUAUAAAAAACAACAAUUUAUACACCGUAGACAUAGGAUUAGGAUUCAAGAUCAACUGUGAAUAGGUGCCGUGCGCAGGCUGAAAUAUCCCAAAGGAAUCCCCUUGACACGAAAUGGACUCCCGAUUGCUGAAUGUUUUCCAUGAGGAUCCCUUCGACGGAAACUUUGCAAAAUAUGAGACCGAGCCGAGCUUCUGGUCUCCCAACGACGACCUGCAGCUGACGGAUACACUGAACGGAAUACUGCCCAUUGCGCCCACAGACGCCCAAUCCCUGCUGGGCCACGACGGCGUCGAGGAUGUGGAGUUGCAGAGCAGCAAGAACCUGCUGAUCUACAGCGAUUUCGUGGAGCAGCAGCUGAACGACCAGGAGGCUAACGCACUCAAUGCCCAGGUCUAUCAGGCCUUCGCCGACAGCGAGGUCGAAGUGGCCUACGAGCAGCACGAGCGUCAUUUGAGCGCCGUAGGCCAAUAUGGUGAUCUAGCCGUUGCAGGUCUUGGAGGAAGUCACAUAGAGGAGGAUGAGGAGGAAGGGGAGGAUGUGCAGAGUCAAUGCAGCAACUCUACGUUCCGCACGCGCACAGAUAGCUCCUCAAUUGGCGACUACGAGUCGCACUCGAGCGACUACGACGACGAUGACGAGGAACCAGUACCGGAACCGGAACUGGAACAAGAACGGAAACACAAUACGAGUCUGCUCAGAGGCAAUGUCGAUGCAUUGAAUGAGUGCAGCGAUCGCAAGAGUCGAACGCUGAGCACCAACACCAUAGUCUCGGAGGCGGAUGCCUUGGGGCUGAACAUUGACGUUAAUAACUUUGAUCUGGCUGAUUUUAUCACUAAAGAUGACUUUUCGGAGAACUUAAGCGCGUGCCGCUUGGCAGAGUCGAAGCGGAUCCAAGAAACAGCUCCACUUACUCACUCCAAAGUGUCAUUAGAGCCACUAUCUACUCCAUCAGCUAGUGCUGGUGCUGCCACUGCUUCUGUUGUGCAAAAAUCUACAGCUGUACCCACGAAGCUGCGCGACUCUGACGACGACUCAGACUCGAUCAUCGAUGUGGAAACUGUCGAUGUGGUGGACGUGGAUGAGACCUUGUGGGUCAAGGGCCAGCUGGCGCAAGCGGAGGCAGCUUCUCCCGAGGAUCUGUGCUAUGUGGACAAUGUGAAGGCCGAUCCAUCCUGGUCUCCGAAAGGGUCUGCGAAGAAGCCACUGUCUCUAGCUAAAGAGCCCAAACUGGCGCCGAUGGAAAACCAGGAAAUCCAGGCUCGAGGAGCCACCGGCUCAGCCAAGCCGAAGGCCACAAACAACAUUUGCCUGGUGCCCAACAAGAAGCAGUGCGACUUCCUCAAACGAAAGGUGGCGGGAGGUGCCGCGUCCAAGUCGAAUAAAGCGGCCUCGAAGAAAACUCAAGAGGGUAAGAAAUCUGCAAUCGGCAGCAAGCAGCAGCGGCCUGUCGCCAGCACAGGCUUGGGCCUGGGAGGGAAGAAUCUGGCUCUUCUCAAGCAUGCUCGGGAAGCGGCAGCAGCAAUCGUGCCGCCAGUACCAGCAACGGCAACAGCAACACAAACAGCAACACCAACAGCAACACCAACAGCAACACCAACACCAACAGCAACAGCAACAGGUACUGUGGCAUCGACACAGGCGCCCAAACGAAAACUUAAUCUGGAGGAGUACAAGCAGCGUCGCGGUACAGGCGGCACUGCCGUCGCCAAGACCGGCACGAAGGUCAAGCCCACGCCUCCCAAACAGCCCAAGUUGGAGCAACAAAGGCAGCCUCCAACUGGCGCAGUGGGUGCUCUGGGCGCGCUGAAACCAAUGCCAGUUACAACGCCUUCGAACCAGCAACAACAGAAGACCGUGGCUAUAGCCCAGAUCGUCAACAGUCUCAAGUGCCCACCCAUUAAAGGGGGGCCAACAGCAGCAGCCCUGCCUAUGGAUCCCAUUACUGUGGCCAAGAACAAGGUGCUGCGCAUGCUGGAGAUGAAGCGGGCCCAGCAACUGAAGAUCAUCGAUUCGCGCGUGUCGGCAAAGGUGCCGCGCGUAACGAAGCUGCCGCCGCUCAAAGACAUUGUGAAGGACACGUACCGCGUCGAAUUGGAGGAGGACAACAACAGCGAGGCUCCAGCAGCAACAGCAACAGCGACGACGGCCAGAAUGAACACACUCCGCCCCGACUUGGACGCACUGAUUAUUGUUUCGGCCAGCUGUAACACGGACAUAACGAUACCACCGAACCAGCUGAGCAAGGCCUCGCCUCGCUCGCUGCUUAAGUCCUCGGUCCUCCUGUACAACAUGUCCAACGGCAAGGACGCGAAAAAGAACAUGAACAACUCCCUCAUAGCCAGCAUACAGAGCGAGGUGGUGCGACAGACCAGCAGCACGGCCAUGGCCACGUUGCUACCGAAGAGCAAUGCUGACGGGGGCAAGGGAGCCAAGCACCCGAGUGGGACUGAAACGAACGUGCCGCAUGGCGAGGAUAUGGUGAUAAUGCACUUGCCGAAGAACCGCGAGCGCAAAACUCUUGUCAACAUGUCUACCCAAACGGAUCUGCAACCCGAAUUUCCCCUCCUGGUGCUGCCCGCCACCACGCGGCAGUCACGCGAGCGCUCUAGGCGCAAAUACCGCAAACGGCGAGUCCCAGGCUCGGAUGAAUCUAGUUCCUCGAGAGGUUCCUCUUCGGAUAGCAGCAGCCUGGCUUCGUACAGAUCCCGAUCACGUUCCCGUUCCCGCUCCCGCUCCCACUCAAUAGAGCGGCUGCGCAGCUUGGAUGCAACAGCCACGUGCGGAGGCAGCAGUAUUGGCAACGGGGGCUAUUCCUCGCGCAGCACCCACCGCCACCGCAGCUCGGUUAGUUCCUCAUCGUACUCGGAGGCGGGCAAAUAUGAGCGCCGACAGCGUCGCACCAGCUACAACAAGCGACGCUCGAAAAACCAGCAGCCAAACCGGGCCGGCUACUCCAGCUCGGGCUCCGAAAUCAGCGAUCGGGAGCGUAGUCGUAGUCGCAGUCCGCAGCGCCCCUUGCGCCGUUCUCGUUCGCGCUCACAAUCUGAGGCGCGCUUCGAAAACAACAACAACAAUAGACGUGGAUUUGUGGAUCGGAACGUAUCACAGCCGGCGGUGGAGGAGCGCCGCAUUGUGUAUGUGGGUCGCAUUGAGCAGGAGACCACCAAAGAGCUGCUGCGCCGAAAGUUUCUGGCCUAUGGCAACAUUAAGCAGAUAACAAUACACUACAAGGAGAACGGCAUGAAGUACGGCUUUGUGACGUAUGAGCGAGCGCAGGACGCAUUCACGGCCAUCGACACAAGCCCAAAGGAUCCACAGAUCAAUAUGUAUGAUAUUAGCUUCGGCGGAAGACGCGCCUUCUGCCGUGCCUCGUAUGCCGAUUUGGACAAUGCUGGCAUCAACAACUACCACUCAUAUGUGUUUCCCAAGGAAGCACCGGCCCCAAAGCCGCAGGAGGACUCCUUUGAAGCUUUGUUGCUGAAAGUAAAGGCAAAGCUGAAUGCUUGCAAGCCAGAAACACCAGCAACUGGACCCGCAACUGCACCAGCAGCUGCACCGGCGCCAGAUCACAGUCAGAUUUGACAUCUUUGCUCCAACAGACAGUUUUUCGUAUUUUUACUUUACUUUUUACGUUUGUUUAGCCUGGAAGUUGACAGCAGAGCUAUGCGUUGCAAGCAACGAGACUAUUACACUAUACAUAUAUGCUAGGAUAAUUCUGGAGGGCGAGAGUGGAAACUACUACAACUACAAAUGAGACAAGAAAUUUGAACGAAAAUGGAAUUGUGAUAGCCGCACGUAAGGUGCACACAAAGUCAUUUAUUGCGGAUAAGUUAGCAAGAAAUCCAGAGAAGAAACAGACUCCACAGACUCAGAACAGCCUUGUAACAAUCCAUCAUCUAUCCACCCCCAUACAACCAUACACCCCUGAAACUGAACUAAAGUAUAAACGUCUGAACGAGCGAGAGGUGACACCAGGUCGCAGAAAUAGCGAGAGGAACACGCUACACAGCCGUUCGCUGAAUAGAAUAUAAUAUAUGUACAGCGAUCAUGCAUAUAUCUAUAGUUGAGAGAGCAAGGAGCGCGCAUGCUACAUGCGUCGGCCACGAAUUAAACUGUUGAUAACUAAACUUUGAUAUUAGUUUGUAAAGAGAAUAUUUUGUAUGUACGUUUAAUUUACUCGAUGUCCUUUGAAUAACCACAAACAACCACACAAUACAGAACACACAAACACCGAGCUGUUUAAAUACGCCAAACGUAAACUCUGCAAGCACACAAUCCACAGAAGCAAGACCGAAAUUAAAACGUAAUUCGUUUAAACAAACAAAUCUAAUCCAAGGAAGGAAAUUAUUUCAUUUUUCAUAUCGAAAUUACAAAACCAUGAAACCCAAACUGUGGCACACAUACAGUGUAGCCCAAGAGACAAAAAUCGUAAUGGUACGAGUAAUUAAGUAGCCACCACAAAUUGUUCUUUAAGUUCUUUUGUACAAUUAUCCUUUUUAUAGAUUAAUAAAUGCUUGUUAGAUCCAGCAAAAUGAA
rnacentral:misc_RNA from 1 species